rnacentral:tRNA from 1 species
AAAUUUUAUAAAGAUGGCAGAAAAGUGCAUUAGGUUUAAGC